rnacentral:rRNA from 1 species
GACGGGGGGGGGGGCAAGUGUUCUUCGGAAUGACUGGGCGUAAAGGGCACGUAUGCGGUGAAUCGGGUUGAAAGUGAAAGUCGCCAAAAAGUGGCGGAAUGCUCUCGAAACUAAUUCACUUGAGUGAGACAGAGGAGAGUGGAAUUUUGUGUGUAGGGGUGAAAUCCAUAGAUCUACGAAGGAACGCCAAAAGCGAAGGCAGCUCUCUGGGUCCCUACCGACGCUGGGGUGUGAAAGCACGGGGAGCGAACAGG